rnacentral:rRNA from 1 species
AGAAYCASAAGCAACUGCGAAAGCUCUAGUAAUGGCGAUUGAACCAGAUUGAUGACUCGGCCUGAACGAGAUUCCCUAAGCACUCUGCCCCCUCCAGGGCUGUGGUGUGACAGGCUCUCAUGGAAUCCGACCUGUGGGCUAUGGACUGGCUGGCUUUGAUUGGGUGGACCAACUGGCACCAGGGAGAGCCCUGGAAUGGGCCACCACCGAGGGAUACUGUCCCAUACGUCCUGCAGAGAGUGCCUUGGUCUCGCCUGAUUGGCUGGUUAGAUCCCCGAGUAGAGCUGCUUGGUACUGCAGUUUGAACUGUGAUGUGUAUCCAUCAUAAGGAAGCCACCUAUGGACCUGGGACCGAUAGUGUACAAGUAGAGUGAUCGAAGGAUGCAAAGAACUCCGCGAAGAGGGUUAAAAGUCCCUGAAGCUGCAGCAGAUUCUGUGGUGAGUGGCGCUGUGGGAGAUCCAGGCGAUCCCAGGCACACCCUGGGCCGGCUACAGAGCCCCCGCCUCCUGGCGGGGAUGCCUAUCGUAGCGGUCCAUUCCAAGGGUGUCACCUCCGUGUGCUGUGGCCUGGAGAUCGCCAGCCAAUCAAUCAGUAGUCGUGUGGCAGAGAGUCGACUCAGCCUGUGUGUGGCACGGGGAUACCCCCGCGGUGUGGCACGGCCGGCCCCCAUUGGGGCAGGCCACCCCACCCGUGGAGGGUCCCUGGGUCACCCGGGCCCCUCAAACCUGGCGGCGUCCUCGGGCGCUGCCAGUCGCCACGGCCUCCCAGUGGUCUGGGGUCUGGUGCCUGCCUGGUGACUGCACCAUUGUGAUGGUGGUCACCCCGCUGGGCUGCCGACCCCCCGCUGGGGACCUGGUGUGGAUGUGUGCAGAUGAGCCUGGCCAUUCAGGACAGUGCCACUCACUGCCCGUCUCGAAACACGGACCAAGGAGUCUAUGGAGCUUGCAAGGGUUGGAUGGCCUGCCACUAAGCCCCUCUGGGGCACAGUGAAGGCAAUACUUCCCAUCCCAGAUGGUGAGGGCGCGUCCCCUUGCAUGGGAUCACCGGAUCUGAGUCCAGUGGACAGGGUUWUGAGWGCUUGCAAGGUCCAUGGGACCCGAAAGGUGGUGAACUAUCCCGUUCCACAGCGAAGCCAUGGGAAACUGUGGUGGAAGCUGGUCGCUGUUCUGACGUGCAAAUCGUGUAGCCUGAGAGCGGCAUAGGGGUGAAAGGCCAAUCGAGCCACCUAGUAGCUGGUUCCCUUCGAAGUUUCCCUCAGGAUAGCUGGGCUCAACUGUGCGAGAGAGAGAUGGUUAUGUCCGGUAAAGCAACGCAUGAGAGGCGACCCUGGGAGGUGCUCCUCCUGGACCUAUCCUCGAACUGUGAACGGGCAUGGCAGACAUCAGACACGCUGCUUCUCCCGCUGGAGCCCUGGUGGUGGCUCGUACCUGCCGCCAGGUUCUCCUGGCAUGUGAGCGUGGCUUCGUCAAUCGCCCCUGAUGGGCCUGGGAUCAGUGUCCGGCGGUGCCAGUGUCUCCCACAUGGAGCCUGCACGGCCGUGGCACCCCCGGGGCCGUUGGACGGUGAGAUGUGAUCUAACUCGAUGAACACAGGUGCCUAUGUGGGCCAAUACUGGUAAGCAGUGCUGGCGAUGCGGGGUGCUCCGAGAGUGGACCUACAGUUCCAGAGUGCUGGCUCAUACUCAGAUCCCACAAAGGAUGUUGCUGGCUAUGGAUAGCAGGACGGUGGCCAUGAAGGUUGGAACCCGCUGAGGAAUGUGUAACAACUCACCUGCCGAAGCUAGCAGCUCCGAAAAUGGAUGGAGCCAAAGUCAGUGGAAGAUCACUCACAGUCCACCGUUGGUGUGCUGGUAGACGUCCCUACCAGAUGCAUGAGCAGAGCAUCAUCGUGUAGAAAUGGGCUUGGGAGAGUGCGACGCCGGCUGGGUCCGCCCCUGGCUGGAGCCUCUCCCAGCGCAGAUCUUGGUUGCAGUAGCGAGUACUCAAUUGGGUGAAGAGCAGUCAAACACCCUGCCAUGUGCGGUUGAGGGCUGGAGUGGAGCAGGUUUCCGCACCAACAGCCGUUGAAUGCGGGUCAACCGAUCGUGAGCCAAGUGGCAAAUCACAGAACAACCAAAGCUGCUACGUGGGUCCCAGGACCCAGGCGUGUGGUGAGCGCCGGUGCUGUGUGGUCGGCCUGCCCCCAUCGGGGCGGCCCCGAACGGCCAGGACUCCCACCCCUGGGAAAUGGGGCCAGACAGGAAGAGCAGGAGUGGCAAACAGGCAAGCGCGUGCAAGAUUCCGCUGUGAUGGGGUUGGAUCGCCCUGUGGUGGCGACACCACCCAUCCAGAUUCCCUGACCAGGCCCAGGGGCAGUGGCACCCCUGAGGAGUUCUCGUUUCCUCCUGAUGCAAGACUCAUGUGGACUAUCGAUCGGCAUGCCACAUGGUGGCAUAGGUCCUCCGCUCAGCAAGGCAGUGCGGUCUCCGCGCUGAUGGUAUGUCCGGCAUGUGAAGCUUCGCAGCACCCCGCUGUGCCCGGAGCCGCUGUGGCCUCCCAGUCACGUGGCACCGGGUCGGUGUGGGGAAGGGAGUAAGAUGCAGAGUGGGAUCCACUGGCUCCAAUGAACAGCCUGAGCAGUGCAUGGUGACCCAAAGUCCCUGUGUGGUCGUACUGAAUCACCGCAGCCGGUCUCCUCGACGAGCAGUCGCUAGUCAACAGACGAAAUGCAGCUAAGGGAAGUCGGCAAACUAGCUGUGCACCUUUGGAAGAUGCAGUGGCUCCAGAGGCCAAGCCACUCAGGUCCCGUUGGGGCUGUGCGGUGGCAGGGGAUGCUGACCCUUCGGAGGCGGUCUCGCACCGCAGCCGUUGGGAGGGCGCCUCUGUCCUGCACUGGUCCUGGCAGGUUCAAGCUGUGUGCGAGAGUGUUUGGGGUGACUCCCAACGGGGGUCAGGCUGGCUUCGGCUGGCCUGGCCACCCUGGUGGCUGCAAGUGGCUCAUGUGGAACUGUUGCCGUGCAGGGGAAUCUGACUGUUUAAUUGAAACCCAGCUUCGCGAUGGGACCAGCUGGCUGGUGCCGUGAGGUGACUUCUGCCCAGUGCUCUGAUUGUCAAUGCGAAGAGAUUCAGUCAAGCGCGGGUAAACGGCGGGAGUAACUAUGACUCUCUUAAGGUAGCCAAAUGCCUCGUCAACCAAUUAUUGACGCGCAUGAAUGGAUCAACGAGAUUCCUGCUGUCCCUAGUCGCGGUCUGGUGAACCAACAGCCAAGGGAACGGGCUUGGAUGUGCCAGCGGGGAAAGAAGAGCCUGUUGAGA